CCUACGGGUGGCAGCAGUGGGGAAUAUUGGACAAUGGGGGAAACCCUGAUCCAGCGACGCCGCGUGAGUGAAGAAGUCUUUCGGUACGUAAAGCUCUAUCAGCAGGAAAGAAAAUGAAGGUACCUGACUAAGAAGCCCUGGCUAACUACGUGACAGCAGCCGCGGUAAUACGUAGGGGGCAAGCGUUAUCCGGAUUUACUGGGUGUAAAGGGAGCGUAGACGGCUGCGCAAGUCAGGAGUGAAAUGCCGGGGCCCAACCCCGGAACUGCAGUGGAAACUGUGAGGCUGGAGUUAACGAGGGGUAAGCGGAAUUCGUGGUGUAGGGGUGCAAUGCGUAGAUAUCAGGAGGAACACCGGGGGCGAAGGCAGCUUACUGGACUGUAACUGACGUUGAGGCGCGAAGGCGUGGGGAGCAAACAGGAUUAGAUACCCCAGUAGUC
rnacentral:rRNA from 1 species